UAUGGCCAUAUCACGCUGAAACACCGGUUCACUUACGAUCACCAAAGUUAAACAACGUUGAGCCUAGUCAGUACUGAGAUGGGUAACCGCAUGGGAAUACCCGAUGUUGUAA